UACGUAGGGCGCAAGCGUUGUCCGGAAUUAUUGGGCGUAAAGAGCUCGUAGGCGGUCUGUACGUCGCUGUGAAACCCAGGGCUUAACCCUGGGCUUGCAGUGGAUACGGUAGACUAGAGGCAGGUAGGGGAGAAGUGGAAUUCCGGUGUAGCGGUGAAAUGCGCAGAUAUCGGAGGAAGACCGAGCCGAGGCGGAGCGGGU
rnacentral:rRNA from 1 species